CCUGGUUGAUCCUGCCAGUAGUCAUAUGCUUGUCUCAAAGAUUAAGCCAUGCAUGUGUAAGCACACACUGUUUUAAAAGUGAAGCCGCGAAUGGCUCAUUACAACAGCCACAGUUUAUUAGAACUUACAAUCAUGGAUAACUGUGGUAAUUCUAGAGCUAAUACACGCACAAAAACUUCAACUGAAUUGGUUGAAGUGCUUUUAUUAGAACAAAAACCGAACGGCGUUUGGCGAAUGUUGAACGUCGAAACUGUUUGGUGAAUCUGAAUAACUAUUUCUGAUCGCAUGGUCUAGCACCGGCGACAUCACUUUCAAGUGUCUGCCUUAUCAACCUUCGAUGGUAGUCUAUGCGACUACCAUGGUGAUAACGGGUAACGGAGAAUCAGGGUUCGACUCCGGAGAGGGAGCCUGAGAAACGGCUACCACAUCCAAGGAAGGCAGCAGGCGCGCAAAUUACCCACUCCCAGCUUGGGGAGGUAGUGACGAAAAAUAACGAGACGAUUCUCGUUUGAGAAACGUUAUCGAAAUGAGUACGCUUUACACACGCUAACGAGUAGCAAUUGGAGGGCAAGUCUGGUGCCAGCAGCCGCGGUAAUUCCAGCUCCAAUAGCGUAUAUUAAAGUUGCUGCGGUUAAAACGCUCGUAGUUGAAUUGUGGUCUUAGACAACAGUCCCCCUACAUAGGUGUGGCACGGUUGCUCGAGAUCUUCAUUCGUGGUUGCUGUUGUUGCUCUUCAUUGAGUGUCAAUGGUGCCUCGAGAUUUUACUUUGAAAAAAUUAGAGUGCUCAAAGCAGGUUGUGAUGCCUGAAUAAUGGUGCAUGGAAUAAUAGAAUACGAUCUCGGUUCUAUUUUGUUGGUUUUCGAACCGGAGAUAAUGAUUGAAAGGAACAGACGGGGGCAUUCGUAUUGCUGCGUUAGAGGUGAAAUUCUUGGAUCGCAGCAAGAUGAACAAUUGCGAAAGCAUUUGCCAAGAAUGUUUUCAUUAAUCAAGAACGAAAGUUAGAGGUUCGAAGGCGAUCAGAUACCGCCCUAGUUCUAACGGUAAACUAUGCCAACCAGCGAUUCGCCGAAGUUCAUUUAAGACUCGGCGAGCAGCUUCCGGGAAACCAAAGUGUUUCGGUUCCGGGGGAAGUAUGGUUGCAAAGCUGAAGCGAAGGAAUGCUCGAUAUAUAGCAGACAAAGAAUUGGAAUUGUUUAUGGAAUAUCUGAAAAAGCCCAAACGGAAUGUUAAAAGAAAGCAAGACACAUCUCCAUUGAACAACACUUUCAGCAGUAUGGAUGAAAGUUCUGAAACUGAAUCAGAGCCCGAAAUGGAAAUAAUGAAAACAAGCCAUCCUGUACCAGAUCUGCCUUAUCAUUGUCUUCUUGAAGAUGAUGGUCCUUUCAGACGUGUUCAGAUUUUGACUCGCAAAGAAAUAAACCCAAUGGUGCGCGAUUAUCACAUUCAGUAUGAAAAUACGUUGAUAGAAUUAGCUGCCGCUUUGACGAUGAAAUACCAAUUGCGAAUGGUGCAGUCGGGAUGGCAGGGUCAGGAAGAAACUUCCGUUGAAGAUCGUUGGAACAUUUCGGUAGAAAAGUGUCAAAAUAGCAGUCGAGUUUUUGUGCGAAAUCAAAGCGAAGUUUUGCGCUACAUGUCUUUGGAGAAAGAUCGUCUGGAAAACACCAGUACAUGUGCAUACGAGAUAUUUGGGCAACGUAUUUGCGAUAGGUAUGCUCUGCCAUUGUUGAAUUAUUGUGACAAACACGCCUAUGUGGAGAAGAAGCAGCAUUUGUUCAAGAAGUGUACUUUUCCGAAG
rnacentral:rRNA from 1 species